rnacentral:sRNA from 1 species
UGCAUACAAAUGGUGCGCGAUCUCUAUUCAUCUUUCAACCAGCAUAAGAAGAGAAUAAAUUAUUAAUUACAUCACAUAGCUAACCUGUGUUUUUUCUCAUAUUUCAGCUAUCAAGAAGUAAAAAAUUGCUGCUGACCUUUACAAACAAACUAGUAGCUCAGUAUGAUAUUUUGUCAACAAAAUAAGUGUGGAAGUGCUAUCUAAAGGGUUCGAUGGGAGAAGAUUCUUCAAGAAAAGCUGCAGCUUCAAAGCAUUCAACGGCUUCCAUUGCCGAUGUCCCCAGAUCAUCUCUGUAGAACAGUCCAAGAUUGUACCAAGCAGAUGGGUUUGUUCUGUCAAGGCGCAACGCAUCAGUGAGUAGGCUUCUGACUAUUGAAGAUGAUUGACCACCAAGUUGUCUGAGUACACAAGCUGUAGAUAUCAAACUUGGAACAUGGUUGGGAUCAAUAUCUAAUGCUUUCCUAAAUGAUUUCAGAGCCUCUGGAUGAAGACCUCUGGCUUCAAAGAGCCUGAACUUUGAAUCUUCUACCCCAAGGAAAAAGGCACCUCUUGUUCACUACGUCUUCUCUUUUUAUUUAUUUUUAAUUAAUAUUCUGUCUGCCACUGCCCCUCUUCACAAUGACCUAUUCUCCAUUCUAACUGUCACAGUUUCAAAAUUUAAAUAUGUAUUUUCUUUCCUUUUUUAAA